AACACUUCUCAGCCUUUUGGCUGAGAUCAAGUGUAGUAUCCCUUCUUAUCAGUUUCAAAUUUGAGUCUUUUUACCUUUAGUUCUCUCACAUUAUCUCAU
ensembl:snRNA U2 U2 spliceosomal RNA